UACGAAGGGUGCAAACGUUGCUCGGAAUCAUUGGGCGUAAAGCGCACGUAGGCGGCUUCGCAAGUCGGAUGUGAAAUCCCACGGCUCAACCAUGGACGUGCAUUCGAAACUGCGAAGCUUGAGUAUGGAAGAGGGUCGCGGAAUUCCCGGUGUAGAGGUGAAAUUCGUAGAUAUCGGGAGGAACACCAGUGGCGAAGGCGGCGAUCUGGGAAGAUACUGACGCUGAGGUGCGAAAGCGUGGGGAGCAAACAGG
rnacentral:rRNA from 1 species